rnacentral:rRNA from 1 species
UGAGUAACCUGCCCUUAACUCUGGGAUAAGCCUGGGAAACUGGGUCUAAUACUGGAUACUCACUUCUCAUCGCAUGGUGGGUGGUGGAAAGUUUUUUCGGCUGGGGAUGGGCCCGCGACCUAUCAACUUGUUGGCGGGGUGAUGGCCUACCAAGGCGACGACGGGUAGCCGGCCUGAGAGGGCGUCCGGCCACACUGGGACUGAGACACGGCCCAGACUCCUACGGGAGGCAG